rnacentral:rRNA from 1 species
GUGGGGAAUUUUGGACAAUGGGCGAAAGCCUGAUCCAGCAAUGCCGCGUGUGUGAAGAAGGCCUUCGGGUUGUAAAGCACUUUUGGCAGGGAAGAAACAGUGCGUGCUAAUACCAUGCGCGAAUGACGGUACCUGCAGAAUAAGCACCGGCUAACUACGUGCCAGCAGCCGCGGUAAUACGUAGGGUGCAAGCGUUAAUCGGAAUUACUGGGCGUAAAGCGUGCGCAGGCGGCUUUGUAAGACGGAUGUGAAAGCCCCGGGCUCAACCCGGGAAGUGCAGUCGUGACUGCAAGGCUAGAGUGGGUCAGAGGGAGGUGGAAUUCCGCGUGUAGCAGUGAAAUGCGUCGAGAUGCGGAGGAACACCGAUGGCGAAGGCAGCCUCCGGGGAUAACACUGACGCUCAGGCACGAAAGCGUGGGGAGCAAACAGGAUUAGAAACCCGGGUAGUCC